rnacentral:rRNA from 1 species
UUGACCUCGGAUCAGGUAGGAAUACCCGCUGAACUUAAGCAUAUCAAUAAGCGGAGGAACUU